rnacentral:rRNA from 1 species
GAUGAACGCUGGCGGCGUGCCUAAUACAUGCAAGUCGAGCGAAUGGAUUAAGCGCUUGCUCUUAUGAAGUUAGCGGCGGACGGGUGAGUAACACGUGGGUAACCUGCCCAUAAGACUGGGAUAACUCCGGGAAACCGGGGCUAAUACCGGAUAACAUUUUGAACCGCAUGGUUCGAAAUUGAAAGGCGGCUUGGGCUGUCACUUAUGGAUGGAACCGCGUCGCCUUAGCUAGUUGGUGAUGUACCGGCUCACCAAGGCAACGAUGCGUAGCCGACCUGAGAGGGUGAUCGGCCACACUGGGACUGAGACACGGCCCAGACUCCUACGGGAGGCAGCAGUAGGGAAUCUUCCGCAAUGGACGAAAGUCUGACGGAGCAACGCCGCGUGAGUGAUGAAGGCUUUCGGGUCGUAAAACUCUGUUGUUAGGGAAGAACAAGUGCUAGUUGAAUAAGCUGGCACCUUGACGGUACCUAACCAGAAAGCCACGGCUAACUACGUGCCAGCCGCCGCGGUAA